GGGUAGAAUUCAAUGUCAUGCUAUGGCAAAUGUCCCUUCUGACCCAGUGUGUGCCAACGGAAGCCCCCAUGCAAGACUUGUGCUGACAGUACUUAUUAGGCUAAUCCCAUCCAUUGUGUGUGGGAGGGGGUAGAACUCAGAAUCACCCAAUGAAGACGGGGCAUCUAACUGGGCAUGGAGUGUUGAUGUGCUGCUAUGGGGUAUGGGCAGGGAGAAAAAGAGAAUGGAGCAUCUUCACUCUACACUGCAACACUUUGCUGCAUUUCUCACUUACACCUGUGUGUGUGUGUAUGUAUGUAGAUAGAUUUUCCAGUUUAUUUGCCCAAUAAACAAUGCAGUAUAGAACAGAAAAAGAAUGUUGUGCCACUUAAUAUCAUUUUGCAGGAAGGCAAGCAGUAGGGAGGGUUGUCAUAAGGCCUAUAGCUGGAGUCGAUAUGUUCCUGCAACAGUGGCAUCCAGUAUCUUUGCUCCAGGCCAACCUCAAGAACAGGGAGCUGAAUUCAGGGGUAAGUACUAAGCCUAUUCACCCAGCUCCUCAGAGUCAUCCUCCUAGGCUAUAUUGCUUGUUAAAUUUGCCAUCCCAUGGAGUAGUCCCCCUGUUGCUGAGCUAUUAAAUUACAUGCUUGUUUGGAAAAAAACGAAGUCUCUCAUAUACUACUUCAGAAAUUUGUGCACAGAUCAAAAGCUUGUGCGGCUUCCAAGAGAAGUUAAGUCAUUCAGUGGGGAUCACUUUGUUUUGCACAUCACUCCAGGACCUAACAUUCUGGACGUACCAACAGUAAGAAAGGAGCAACCGUUUUGAGUUCCAGGAGGGAAAGAUAAGGAGCCCCUUUUGUGCUUAUGAUAUGACCUGCUUCUAGCCUUCUUGAGUGCAGUUCUGAGCUUCAAAUGACCACUAUGUGGUGCUAUUAAUGCAAUUACCCAAAUCUUGUUUCCCCCAUUAGCUAGAGGCAGCGGUGGAAGUGAAUUUCUGGUCUUCAGCUGCUGCCUUUGAUCUCUUCAGUUAGUCCCUGAUAAAUUACUCAGAAGCAACGUAGCAGAAAUGGAAAUGCAGAAAGCUGAGUAGUUUUGCAUGUGCCUUAAGGCUUGGUUAUAAUUACGUAUGGGGUGCCUGACUCUCAACAAUCCUGCCCUUGUGCUGUUAGGAGCCAAAGGAAUGGCAGUGCUACUUGGCAUUUAGCAGCCCAGACCCAUCUUAUAUUGUAGGAGAUAAAGGCUUCUUAUUGUAGUAUAUGAGGUGAAAGUCACGGUGAAGACCAGAGGGCUAGUAUUAUCAACUGACUGCAGGAUGGCUUCCCAUACCAACCCCCACCUUCAGUUGUCCUAGCACUCCAGUUGCAAAUUUUACUUGGUUGAAUGUCUCUCACUUUUGCCUUGUUCCUAAAUUGUGCUUGGGCUUGACAGACAGCAAAGCACAUGGCAAGGAAGUAUCUUGGGCUUGAAUUGAUUGAUGGGGAGCCAUUGUGUUCUGUUCACUGUAGUCCAAGUUGCACUGUGGGUGGCAGCCAACCUUACAGUGUUAAUAACCCAAAAACCCAUCAAGUCUCAACACUGGCUUCCUUCCCAAUGGAGAGGCACAUGGAGCAGAUUGCACCACACCCAGAAUUCCCUGGAGCCCUGAUAAAGAGAAGGUUCUUGGCAGCAACUUGGGACUUUGACCUGUUAUAAUAAUUAAACUGAAAUUCAAAUGCAUUCACCAUUUCCAGACAGCAUUAACUGCCAUGCUUGUGUCCAAAUAACCAAGCAGGUUGCAUUAGAAGUGGUUUUAGAUUAUUUACUUCCAUUGUUUGUUUGUUUCUCUCUCUGAGAAACUAAGACCUGGAAGGGCCACCUAAAUGAGCAACAGCACAGUGGGAUGGAAAUGAUGGAAGUAUUGUGCUUUUCAAGCCGUAUUCUCAAUUACAUUAAUUGUGACAGAGACACACUUUUUCUGGUUGCUUGCCCAUCAUUGGUCUUUUAUUUGCUCCCAAGAGUUGUUGAAAUAUGUACAGGAAGUCCAAGUCGCACGUCUCACUUGUUUCCACACAUAACUGCUCUUAAAGUGGAAGCCUUCCAUGAUUAGCUUAAUGUCUGAAAAGUGUAUAAACCCAGUAAUAGACAGCAUGGCAAAUUUGUGAAAAUUCAUUUUGGCAGAGGUGACCAUGUGAGUAGCAAUUGUAUGCUUCAGUUAAUGGGAUAUAAGGCAGCACAAGUGUACACAGAACUCGUGUUACAUUCUUAUGAGCAAUCUCCUCUGAUAUUAGCAUCUAAGAUGGUAUCCUGCUUUCAGGGCCUGAUUGUUUACGUGUCCUGAUAGGGUUGCUUAAAUGUUGACAUGUUUUUUGUCUGCUGACUUUUCAGUUGUUUUAAAAUGCUUUUUAUUGAUAACUUUAAUAUUUCUUGGAAACUGCCUAGAGGUUUUAUUACAACCAAGUGGUAUAUAAUUUUAUUAAAUAAAUAAAUAUUACUUAUUAACUGAAGGACAGAAAAGUAAUAUCAAUUAAAAACCUUUUGCACCUUCAGGUAAUUAGUUAGCCUAAGAUGUUACAGUUAAGUCUUGGUAUUUUCACUCUUUGCAAGAAAUAUGCUAAUGCAAAGAGACGGCGCCCAGUUAUUGAAGUGACUGAAUGUCAAGCAAAAAUGGUUUGGGAGUUGUCUCUACUGUAUGCUUUUUGUAACCUUCCAGGGCCUCUCGCCAUCCUUCCAUGUCACAAGCAUUAGAAUCUGUCAAAUUAUCUACAGUGAAAUGGAAAAUGAUGUGACAACCUAGCUUAACGUAAGCCUGGGAGGAUUUGCCGACAGCUACAGGUAGGCAAGGGACCAUGACUCCUUUUAGAGUUGAAAGAUGCUGAAUUGAUAGCUUCUCUUUUUUUAAAAAAAGGCAAGCUGUCUUGGAAACCCCUGAACUAUCCAUUUAGCUGUCUUGCAUUCUGAUAUUGUUAGUGUCUGUGGCCCCACUGUCUGUGUCAUAUGUAGAGGAGUUAGGACUCUUGCGCAGGAGCAGAGUGUAGUGAUACAAGUGGUAAAGUCACUCUUGUUAGUGUACUUUGCAGUGGUGGAACCAGAAUAUAGUCUUUUCAGCUCUCAUUGUUGACAUGGUAAAUAAACAUUGAGUUUGGAGGAUAUGUUGGAUCCCCUUUUGGGGCUAAUUCCUGCUAAUUUUCCAUACUGGCUUUGCACAUAACACCUUUGUGCGUGAGAGUAGAGUGAAAAGGUGGUUUACUCUGCAUUGGCAACACUAAGCAGUAUGGGUUGCUUCACAAAUUUCAGAUAUUGAACACUAGCCAACAUUUUGCUUAUCACCCUUCUCAGGUACAGCCUGUGUACAUUUCCCAGUAGUCAGUUUAUUAGCAGGCUACUGUGUGUCAUUCAUAUCCCAUUUCGUUCAAAAACAGAUGGUUGUGUAUGCAGAUCCACAACAAUCCCUCAUUCUGAUAAUUCUCUUCC